CGACGUGAGGAACCUGCCUUGGAGAGGGGGAAUAACACUCCGAAAGGAGUGCUAAUACCGCAUGAUGCAGUUGGGUCGCAUGGCUCUGACUGCCAAAGAUUUAUCGCUCUGAGAUGGCCUCGCGUCUGAUUAGCUAGUAGGCGGGGUAACGGCCCACCUAGGCGACGAUCAGUAGCCGGACUGAGAGGUUGACCGGCCACAUUGGGACUGAGACACGGCCCAGACUCCUACGGGAGGCAGCAUG
rnacentral:rRNA from 1 species